CAGAUCCACAGGCAUCCAAUGAUCUGCCAAGUCUUUGUCAAAUGCUCUGUUAGCACAAAACCAGGAAAAAUCACCCACAGAUGAAAAUAUGAUCAAGAAAGAUGAGAAGCUGUAUGGUCAUGUUCCAGAAGCAUUCUCUCCUGGCGUUUCACCUACAUCUAUGGCAGGCAUCCUCAGAGGUUGUGAGG